rnacentral:misc_RNA from 1 species
UUUCCGUAGGUGAACCUGCGGAAGGAUCAUUAUUGUAUAACCGAGGUGCGAGGGCUGUCGCUGACCCGAAAGGUCGUGCACGCCCGAGUGCCCUCACACACAUCCAUCUCACCCCUAUAUGCACCACCGCGUGGGUCCCCCUUUGGCUUGUUCGGAGGGGGGCUUACGUUUUCACACAAACUUUGUAUGCAGUGUAGAAUGUAUUUUUUGUUUUUGUGAUCACGCAAUCAAUACAACUUUCAACAACGGAUCUCUUGGCUCUC